rnacentral:rRNA from 1 species
CGACGGGUGAGUAACACGUAUCCAACCUGCCGUCUACUCUUGGACAGCCUUCUGAAAGGAAGAUUAAUACAAGAUGGCAUCAUGAGUCCGCAUGUUCACAUGAUUAAAGGUAUUCCGGUAGACGAUGGGGAUGCGUUCCAUUAGAUAGUAGGCGGGGUAACGGCCCACCUAGUCUUCGAUGGAUAGGGGUUCUGAGAGGAAGGUCCCCCACAUUGGUACUGAGACACGGACCAA